UGCGGAGGGGGCUAGCGUUGUUCGGAAUUACUGGGCGUAAAGCGCACGUAGGCGGCUUUGCAAGUUAGAGGUGAAAGCCCGGGGCUCAACUCCGGAAUUGCCUUUAAAACUGCAUCGCUAGAAUUGUGGAGAGGUAAGUGGAAUUCCGAGUGUAGAGGUGAAAUUCGUAGAUAUUCGGAAGAACACCAGUGGCGAAGGCGACUUACUGGACACAUAUUGACGCUGAGGUGCGAAAGCGUGGGGAGCAAACAGG
rnacentral:rRNA from 1 species